AACGAACGCUGGCGGCAUGCCUAACACAUGCAAGUCGAACGAGACCUUCGGGUCUAGUGGCGCACGGGUGCGUAACGCGUGGGAAUCUGCCCAUGGGUUCGGAAUAACAGUUGGAAACGACUGCUAAUACCGGAUGAUGUCGUAAGUCCAAAGAUUUAUCGCCCAGGGAUGAGCCCGCGUAGGAUUAGCUAGUUGGUGGGGUAAAGGCCUACCAAGGCGAGGUGACUUAGCUGGUCUGAGAGGAUGAUCAGCCACACUGGGACUGAGACACGGCCCAGAAUCCUACGGGAGGCAGCAGUGGGGAAUAUUGGCCAAUGGGCGAAAGCCUGAUCCAGCAAUGACGCGUGAGUGAUGAAGGCCUUAGGGUUGUAAAGCUCUUUUACCCGGGAUGAUAAUGACAGUACCGGGAGAAUAAGCCCCGGCUAACUCCGUG
rnacentral:rRNA from 1 species